UACGUAGGGACCGAGCGUUGUCCGGAUUCAUUGGGCGUAAAGAGCUCGUAGGCGGCCACUCAAGUCGAAUGUGAAACCUCGAGGCUUAACCUCGAGCCUGCAUUCGAUACUGGGUGGCUAGAGUCUGGUAGGGGGAUCUGGAAUUCCUGGUGUAGCGGUGGAAUGCGCAGAUAUCAGGAGGAACACCGGUGGCGAAGGCGGGAUCCUGGGCCAGUACUGACGCUGAGGAGCGAAAGCGUGGGGAGCGAUCCGG
rnacentral:rRNA from 1 species